CUGCAGUCCACAGAGGGGUCACAGAGAGGUGGACACAACUUAGUGACUGAACAAUAACAAGUCCAUUUGGAAAAAGUGAAAUGAACAAAUGAAGACAGGAGCGAAAUUAAAAGAUAAUUGGAAGUCUAUAUCGGGCUUCUGUGGAUGUGCGCACACUCCGCCAAUCUGGUCUCUCUGUGCGGGCAGGAUAAAUUGAGAACUCUUCGGCUGGCUCGGGGGGUGGAUAAAACAGAGACAAAUGCGUGCCAUGCAAAUAAACAGACCCAUCUUCCCAUGA